UCUGGAGGAGGAGGAGGAGCAGAAAUCAGAUGAAGAGACAGCAGAGGAGGAGCCGUAUAAUUUGGUUGUCCGACAGACUAGUGAUGAUGUUCCAGAUGAGGUAGAGGAAAAGGUGAAACCAAAUCUUAGACACGGAACAGUGUAACUGGUUCUAAAUGUCAUCCAGAAAGUACUGAGAAUCAUAAGAUAUCCUGAGUCGGAAGGGACCCACAAGGAUCAUCACAGUUCAUCUCCUCACUUAUUAUCUGGAAACUAUUUAGAAGAAUUGGUUUAUAUUUCAUCAAGGACUUGCCCAGAGCUCCUGCUCACAGUGAAAGCGGGAACCAACCUACAGUUCUACAAAGGUUCUGUAUGAUACAGAUUUUUUACAAAGCAAAGACUGCAAACUUGCUUUGAGAAAGUCUUACUGAAGUGAGCAGCUAAGAAACGUUGAACCACCUUUUUUUUUCGCUGGCAUUGUAAUUAACUUGUACAUACACUUCAAAAACUUCCUAAGAAAGGAGCAAAGGAAACAAGUGGAAUUCUUCCUGCUGAAGAACUUAUUGACCAGAGCUUUGGUUUUUUGUUUCUUUUUUUUUUUUUUUUGAGUGAACUUAACUGCUUCUUAGAGUUGAGAAAAGCAUGAUUAAAGAAUUCCCACAGGCAGAGUAGAGUAGUGACCAGAGCAUAUGUAGUGCACUUGGGUAGUAUGACUUUGCCUCUUUUGUACUGUGAAUUUUAUAGAAAGAUACACCAACGUGGUUCCAAGGAAAUAAAAGUGCAAUCACUGGAA